rnacentral:lncRNA from 1 species
GUAUGGAAGGAAGUUUGCCCAUUUUACAGAAGAGGGACAGGCAACCCUUCGUACCAAUGUACCACCGGUAUUCAGGAUAAAAAGAUAAAGACAACAUGAAAGCAGCACCAUGGACACAGACCAUGUGUAUUUUAACACACCCUACAGCUUUCCACCCAGAGAGCAGGUGAAUAUGAGUGAAGAUUAUUGAAUGACAACAAAAUAAAAUUAAUUGUAACUGCUGUGCAUGAAGUCAUGUUUUUUGUGUGUCGUGAUUAAGGACAAUGACGGCAUGGACCAACACAACGUGGCAACCAUCCAUGCACUUUCAGCUGUCCAUGAAUGUUGACCAGACAAAGCCACAGAAAUGUACGGCAGUGUGACUGGAGUGAGAGGCAGCUGAUGUCCUAUGCCAUGGAACUGCUCAUAUACUCGGAGAAAUUCAGAAAAGCUCUGGACUCAUCUCAUUGUGUGGACAUUUUUAUUUUUUAUUUUUCGAAGGUUUUUGUAAGGCCAAUAAAAGCUGUUGCUGGAUGGUUCAUUUGUCUCAACUUUUUUUCUAAAGCCAAACUUUUCUGCUUUUGUGUUUACAGCAUAUUCUUUCCAGAUUAGUGUAUGGUCAAUAU